AAAUUGAAGAGUUUGAUCAUGGCUCAGAUUGAACGCUGGCGGCAGGCCUAACACAUGCAAGUCGAACGGUAACAGGAAUCAGCUUGCUGAUUCGCUGACGAGUGGCGGACGGGUGAGUAAUGUCUGGGAAACUGCCUGAUGGAGGGGGAUAACUACUGGAAACGGUAGCUAAUACCGCAUAAUGUCGCAAGACCAAAGAGGGGGACCUUCGGGCCUCUUGCCAUCGGAUGUGCCCAGAUGGGAUUAGCUUGUUGGUGGGGUAACGGCUCACCAAGGCGACGAUCCCUAGCUGGUCUGAGAGGAUGACCAGCCACACUGGAACUGAGACACGGUCCAGACUCCUACGGGAGGCAGCAGUGGGGAAUAUUGCACAAUGGGCGCAAGCCUGAUGCAGCCAUGCCGCGUGUAUGAAGAAGGCCUUCGGGUUGUAAAGUACUUUCAGCGGGGAGGAAGGGAGUAAAGUUAAUACCUUUGCUCAUUGACGUUAUCCGCAGAAGAAGCACCGGCUAACUCCGUGCCAGCAGCCGCGGUAAUACGGAGGGUGCAAGCGUUAAUCGGAAUUACUGGGCGUAAAGCGCACGCAGGCGGUUUGUUAAGUCAGAUGUGAAAUCCCCGGGCUCAACCUGGGAACUGCAUCUGAUACUGGCAAGCUUGAGUCUCGUAGAGGGGGGUAGAAUUCCAGGUGUAGCGGUGAAAUGCGUAGAGAUCUGGAGGAAUACCGGUGGCGAAGGCGGCCCCCUGGACGAAGACUGACGCUCAGGUGCGAAAGCGUGGGGAGCAAACAGGAUUAGAUACCCUGGUAGUCCACGCCGUAAACGAUGUCGACUUGGAGGUUGUGCCCUUGAGGCGUGGCUUCCGGAGCUAACGCGUUAAGUCGACCGCCUGGGGAGUACGGCCGCAAGGUUAAAACUCAAAUGAAUUGACGGGGGCCCGCACAAGCGGUGGAGCAUGUGGUUUAAUUCGAUGCAACGCGAAGAACCUUACCUGGUCUUGACAUCCACGGAAGUUUUCAGAGAUGAGAAUGUGCCUUCGGGAACCGUGAGACAGGUGCUGCAUGGCUGUCGUCAGCUCGUGUUGUGAAAUGUUGGGUUAAGUCCCGCAACGAGCGCAACCCUUAUCCUUUGUUGCCAGCGGUCCGGCCGGGAACUCAAAGGAGACUGCCAGUGAUAAACUGGAGGAAGGUGGGGACGACGUCAAGUCAUCAUGGCCCUUACGACCAGGGCUACACACGUGCUACAAUGGCGCAUACAAAGAGAAGCGACCUCGCGAGAGCAAGCGGACCUCAUAAAGUGCGUCGUAGUCCGGAUUGGAGUCUGCAACUCGACUCCAUGAAGUCGGAAUCGCUAGUAAUCGUGGAUCAGAAUGCCACGGUGAAUACGUUCCCGGGCCUUGUACACACCGCCCGUCACACCAUGGGAGUGGGUUGCAAAAGAAGUAGGUAGCUUAACCUUCGGGAGGGCGCUUACCACUUUGUGAUUCAUGACUGGGGUGAAGUCGUAACAAGGUAACCGUAGGGGAACCUGCGGUUGGAUCACCUCCUUACCUUAAAGAAGC
rnacentral:rRNA from 2 species